rnacentral:rRNA from 1 species
ACGAUGCAAGUGGUAGGAAGCCGAAAGGUGACCGACCUUCGGGAGCUUGCGACAGGUGCUGCAUGGCUGUCGUCAGCUCGUGUCGUGAGAUGUUCGGUUAAGUCCGCUAACGAGCGCAACCUCGCUGUGUGUUAUAUGUGUCACACGGGGACUGCCGGUCUUAAGCCGGAGGGAGGUGGGAUGAUGUCAAGUCCGCAUUGGCCUUUAUAUCCUGGGCUACACACACGCUACAAUGGCCAACACGAAUAGGUUGCUAAGCCGCGAGGUGGCGCCAAUCCAUAAAGUUGGUCUCAGUUCAGAUUGUAGGCUGCAACCCGCCUGCAUGAAGAUGGAGUUGCUAGUAACCGCAGGUCAGCUAUACUGCGGUGAAUACGUUCCCGGGGCUU